GUGGUGUCUCGCGAGGUUAGUUAUAUUUAUUGCUUGCUCGUACAAAUCUAAUCUAAGGUAUACGUUACAGUAACUAUAGAUUUUUGAUACAGAUUUAUCUUUGAAAUCAUAUUUUAUAUAUAAGCAGAUGUAAGUGAUAAUUACUGUUUUUGCAUUAUGUAAAAUUUGCCUUAUUUUAGAUAUACCGAUGAAUUUAAUGUUCGAGAAGAUCUGAUGGGAUUAGCUGUUGGUGCUCAUGAUGCAAAUAUUCAACAAGCGUGAAAAGUUGAUGACAUUACAAAUAUAGUUAGAAGAAAAUUCAUGCACAUUUAAGAUAUAUAGAGAAACGCAUGAAGCUGUUAAGAAAGACCGAUCUAUGCAGGAAUACAGCAGUAACCUAAAAAUAGAUAGUGACAGUGUGACAGUCGUGACCAUCGCCGCGUGAUAGAUGAUAGUGAUAGUGAAAUAUAUAUAUUGACGGCAGGGAGCUGAUGCCGAGGAGAUCUUUAAGAAGAAAGGUAUAUCCAAAAUCGCACACGACCAUUUUAUAUUCAACUAUAUGGUAUACAAUUUUGCCGCUAUAUAUUGACCGCAGGGAGCUGAUACCAAAGAGAUCUUUAAGAAGGAAAGUGUAUCCAAAAUUGCACAUGUAUGGGACUUGUGAGUUAUGCGAAGCAAUUGAUACUGUUAAGGUUCAUUGGUCAUAUGAAGUUUGCACACGUCAAGCUUGACAUCCUAAAGAUCACAAUGCAUUCUGAAAAUAUACCAUGCAGGUUCGUUGGCGUAUACGUGGUGUCAUACAGGCUGGAAAGUAUUUUCUAUGUUUUGGAAGUAAAAUUUGGAAAAUACAACAUGCCACAAUAAGCGCUAAACCAGGAAAUAUGGUACGACGACUUGUUAUUUUUUACGUUAAUGUUGAAUGGAAAACCCUAUAAGCAUAUUGCGGACAAGAUGAUGUCUAAUCUGGAUACAGCCACGAAAAAAAAAAGAUAUGCGCAUGGCAGGGAAAUUAGCGCUAUUCACAGGCCUUGUAAGCAUAUUUAGUAACAACGAAGAUUCUUUGAAUUGAGCUCUGUCUUAAAAUCGCAUCAAUUGAAGUGAAUCCACUGCCGAGUGCUGAAAUUAUACGAUUUUAUCCGUCACAACGAAUAGACAAAAAGGAAUGGUUUUUCCAGUCGAUGGUCUCGAAUGUUGCUGACGUAUCUAUUUCGUUGCAAAUGCAUCAUUAUGAAAUGAUGAUCGGUAGUAAAUGAAAGAUAUGUUGUGAAUUAAAAAGAUGUCUACAUUACCUAAACAGUAUCUUUGUAUGAUUACAAACUAUCUUCAUCUAAUUUUUAGUGACAAUGUCCGAAUAAUUUGCGUUAGUAUUUCUGUGUAAAAAAAAUAUGACGAUUAUAUUACAGUAUAUCAGAUUUUAAAAUAAUUAUAGAGGUAGGGUGCCUAAAUUGUUAUUGUUCCAUCCAAAUGUAGCUUUUAUACUAUUCGGAUAGUAUCGAUAUUUUAUGCUGCUUAGAAACAAGUAAAAAGCAUUUUAAGACACUUGUCAUCUUAAAAUGCUACCGUUUCCAAAAUAUAAAAACUUGUGUUUAGAUUGCUGAUAUAGUUUUGGGUACUGGCGUAUCUAUUUCGUUGCAAAUGUAUCGUUAUGAAAUGGUGAUCGGUAGUAAAUGA